rnacentral:rRNA from 1 species
GACGAACGCUGGCGGCGUGCCUAAUACAUGCAAGUAGAACGCUGAAGGAGGAGCUUGCUUCUCUGGUUGAGUUGCGAACGGGUGAGUAACGCGUAGGUAACCUGCCUGGUAGCGGGGGAUAACUUUUGGAAACGAUAGCUAAUACCGCAUAAGAGUAGCUGUUGCAUGACAUUUGCUUAAAAGGUUCAAUUGCAUCACUACCAGAUGGACCUGCGUUGUAUUAGCUUGUUGGUGGGGUAACGGCUUACCAAGGCGACGAUACAUAGCCGACCUGAGAGGGGGAUCGGCCACACUGGGACUGAGACACGGCCCAGACGCCUACGGGAGGCAGCAGUAGGGAAUCGUCGGCAAUGGACGGAAGACUGACCGAGCAACGCCGCGGGAGUGAAGAAGGUUGUCGGAUCGGAAAGCUCGGUUGUAAGAGAAGAACGAGUGUGAGAGUGGAAAGUUCACACUGUGACGGUAUCUUACCAGAAAGGGACGGCUAACUACGUG